CAGCAUUUACUGUCAUAAUGUAUGGAAGAUGGCUGACGUAUCUCCUGGCUGGUACCUGAAGGCGCCUGAAAAGAGACUUUUCCUGCACCUUACUGAGCAAUUCUGCCUCAUUAUUGAGCUGUCCAGACGGUGACCGCUGCAGCCCACCACUGCGGGGACAGCCCAGGUUCACAUGUGGACGGACCCCUUUGUGUGCAGCCACCUCCAGCCACGAGUGGAGAACUCUGUAAGCUCAGUUGCUCUCUGGUACUCCGGUUGGUUUAAAUGGGAGGGUACUCCACCAAGGGGAGUCAAUGGGACAGGGCUGAUCCAACGGGACUUACCGCUUUGCCCACAACGACAGCUGAGAUGAUGAUGCUGUAAAGAAAGAAUCCUGAGGCAGUUGCUCCUAAUACCCAGAGAUAUAUGGCACUGUCUGGACAAGGCUCUGGAUCUAGAACGUCACAGAAAUCAUAUCGUACAUUAGUCUCAUAAGGAAGUGCCUACAUCCCAUGAACCAGCCUCUAUACUGCUCUUUACUAGAACGAGCUUCCUUAGGAUACUACCAGUGUUGAGCUCCAAGCCCCCGAGCACUCAGCCUCCAGGGAAAACAGGCCUCGUCUUUGGGAGACGUACAGCUUACCCUUUGCUGUGUCUGCACUUACAUAGGUAACUGCCUGAACAUACGUACGCACUAUGUGGUAUUGCUUGCGCUGCCAAGCCUCCGUGCAACUGUAAAUGCAUCCCAGGGCUGUAAAUGUACCUGCCUUAGGC